GGAGGAAAAGAAACUAACGAGGAUUCCCCUAGUAACGGCGAGUGAAUGGGGAAGAGCCCAGCGCUGAAUCCUCUAGCUAUUAGCUAGCUGGAAAUGUAGCGUAUAGGUUUGGCCAACUCUACUCGUACGCUAUACAAAACCCUAAGUCUACCUUGAACGGGGCCACGAUCCAUAGAAGGUGUCAGACCUGUACGGGUUGUGUUUGUGUACGAGCGGUCAUACCUUAGAGUCGGGUUGCCUGAGAUCGCAGCCCAAAUAUGGUGGUAGACUUCAUCUAAGGCUAAAUAUGGCCACGAGACCGAUAGCAAACAAGUACCGUGAGGGAAAGUUGCAAAGAACUUUGAAGAGAGAGUUCAAGAGGGCGUGAAACCGCUGAGAAUGAAGCGGAUAGAGUCGACGAAACUUAAUCAGUAUUCAGUCGACACGCCAAACGGUUCGAUGUGCGUGACGUUACGUUGGCUGAAAUAUGCCUCGUGACGUUCGUCGCGUGUCGUAAAAUUAACUGUAUGGCGCGAGCAUGUCGACGCAUUUACUGGUUGUAUGCAUUGAGAGCUUCGUAUGCGCACGAAGAAGCCCAACUAAUAGAGGCUUGUUCGAUGGCCUUUUUGGGUCCACUCCCACUUGAACCUAUUAUGGGUUGAAGCGUGUCGCAUAUGAGGUUUGCGUUUUUUCGCGCGCAACUAGUAGUAGUGGUCGUUUCUUCUACUACUCUCGCAAUUUUUCCGUCGCCUAACAUUGUGCGCGUUAAUUUUGACGCGCGCAAUGGUCUCGCGUAGGAAGAGAGCAUACUCACAUAAGAGUUGCAGUUGCGUUUCUCGAUGUGAACGUCGAUCACCUAUCCGACCCGUCUUGAAACACGGACCAAGGAGUCUAGCGUAUACGCAAGUCAUUGGGUGUGCGAAUACCUAAAGGCGUAAUGAAAGUGAGUGCUGUUAUUAGUGCAGCUAUUAUGUGAUUUGCUUGCUUCGGCAAUCGCAAAGCAGCAUAAUCCCGUCUUAAUUACUUCUGUAAUGAGGCGGAGAAUGAGCGUAUGCGCUGGGACCCGAAAGAUGGUGAACUAUGCCUGAGCAGGAUGAAGCCAGAGGAAACUCUGGUGGAGGUCCGAAGCGGUUCUGACGUGCAAAUCGAUCGUCUGACUUGGGUAUAGGGGCGAAAGACUAAUCGAACCAUCUA
rnacentral:rRNA from 1 species